GCGCAGGUGGUGAAAUGGUAGACACGCACGCUUGAGGGGCGUGUGGGACGUUCGUCCCGUGAGGGUUCAAGUCCCUCUCUGCGCACCA
rnacentral:tRNA from 1 species